GCAUCAUAGGUGCGCCCCGGUACGUAAACAAACAGCGCCACGCCUCCCUGCACGUGAGAGACAAGCACGUUACAGACGCAGGCUGCAUUUCAGACUUAAAAACUAAGAAGGCAGUGACGAACGACGAGUACAAGCUUAUAUAUCAGUUACUUUAUCCACUGUGUGUUAUAUUAAUUUCACGUCACCUAUAUAUGAUCUGGUUUGUCUCAACCAACCGCUGCUGCUUCAUCCAAGGGAAAGUCAACCAAACUGCCCCCCUCCCCCUCCCUUCUUCUCACAGGAAAUCAAUAACAGGCAGAGGAGCACCUGUCAACCCUAUGCUGCCACUAUCACCCUGUAAACAAAAGGCAAGUAUUAACUUCGACUGUUCCGCAGUAGACACACAUGCAUGACGGCCGGUCACACAGGUGACAAUGACGUGCGGUCAGAUAAUCAACCUGGUAGCAUCACAGGACACAGUUUAGUACAUGGUGGUUGGGGGAUUAAUGUGGAAACAAAGUACAAAUGUUAGAGAUGAAUUAAUGGAUUCGAUUAAUCAGACACUGGGAGACAACGUACAUAUGUUGAGACAAAGGACAGAAGAUAAAAAUUCACACAAAACAGAAAAGAGUUAAGUUAGCGUUAGUGUUAAGUAGCACACAAACAAACUCAUACAUACUGGCGUUGCAGCCAGAAUAUGCUAACAAAGGUCAAAAGCUUUGCCAACACCCACUAUGGUCUGGUCACACAUCCAACCAAAGACUCAAGGAACAAUAGCUUUCGAUUGUCUUCGCAGUUUUGCACUUCUUCUUCUGGUUUGUACACUGAUGUCAUAUUCUGUGCCAAGGAAUCCCUUGGAAUUCAAACGCUGGACUGAGUGAAAAGUAAUGGCUGUUAAAUUACACAGUACCACGAGGUCGUGCCCACCGCAAGACUUCCCUCUGCUUCAUAAACCACUUUACAAGUCACAGAAGGUUGCCCUUUAAUUAUUUUAGGAGCUUAUAUCAUUUUAACGCACGUCAUUUCUUUCAUCGCAGAGAUUAGGAGAAAGGCCCCCGCUCUGCUGUUCCCUAUAACGAAAAAGACAUCAUCUAUAACAACACUGCUACACGGAGAAUUGCCUUUUCUAGUCCGUUAAAGAUGCAAUUAGAAGCAAUCAAAGCAGGAUGAAUUCAGUUUCACCCCAUGCAACUCGAUGACCGACAUAGCCAUUUUUAACCACAGCCUGAAAGUGGGCCUACGUCAUGUGUUGGCACCAGGUUUAGAAAAGUUUACAACAAAUUGCAGCCUUCUCUAGGAGAAAGAGAGAAGGCAGAGGCUCAUGCAGAAAGUAAGAAACGGAAAAGCAACAGGGAUGCUCUGCAUUAACGUUUGCUUUAAUGCAGUUUUAUCAAACCAGCCAGGUUUCAAGAAGCAAUAACUACAAAAUGAAAAUAAAUGUAUCAUGAAAUGAGU